rnacentral:snRNA from 1 species
CAAUGAGAUUUCUGUCUGACAAA